UACGUAGGGGGCAAGCGUUGUCCGGAAUCAUUGGGCGUAAAGAGCGCGUAGGCGGCCCUGUAAGUCCGCUGUGAAAGUCAAGGGCUCAACCCUUGAAUGCCGGUGGAUACUGCAGGGCUAGAGUCCGGAAGAGGCGAGUGGAAUUCCUGGUGUAGCGGUGAAAUGCGCAGAUAUCAGGAGGAACACCGAUGGCGAAGGCGGGUCUCUGGGCCGAAAUUGACGCUGAGGAGCGAAAGCGUGGGGAGCGAACAGG
rnacentral:rRNA from 1 species